UUGUUGGCCCUUGUGCCUUCACUCUGCGCUCCAUCUCAUCCCAAACCAUCUCCACUGGGAUUAGGUCAGGUGACUGUGGAGGCCAGGCCAUCGGGCGCAGCACUCCAUCUCUCUCCUUGCCUGGAGGCUUCCUUGGCAAUGGCGUCCUCACGGUCCCCGCGGCGCCACGGCUGGCGGUGUUCGGAUUUCAGGCUGUCAGCAAACACGUCGAGGUAGAAAAAGACGUACUGCUCGUGAGUGAGAUUCUCCCGCCUGAAUUCAACCAUCAGCUUCCUGAAGACGUCAGGAGAACAGCA